CGCAUUAAGGUAUCCGGCUGGGGAGUACGGUCGCAAGAUUAAAACUCAAAGGAAUUGACGGGGGCCUGCACAAGCGGUGGAGCAUGUGGUUAAUUCGAAGCAACGCGCAGAACCUUACCAACGUUUGACAUCCUCAUCGCGAUUUCCAGAGAUGGAUUUCUUCAGUUCGGCUGGAUGAGUGACAGGUGCUGCAUGGCUGUCGUCAGCUCGUGUCGUGAGAUGUUGGGUUAAGUCCCGCAACGAGCGCAACCUUCGCCUUUAGUUGCCAUCAUUUAGUUGGGUACUCUAAAGGAACCGCCGGUGAUAAGCCGGAGGAAGGUGGGGAUGACGUCAAGUCCUCAUGGCCCUUACGCGUUGGGCUACACACGUGCUACAAUGGCGACUACAGUGGGCAGCGACCAUGCGAGUGGAAGCUAAUCUCCAAAAGUCGUCUCAGUUCGGAUUGUUCUCUGCAACUCGAGAGCAUGAAGGCGGAAUCGCUAGUAAUCGCGGAUCAGCAUGCCGCGGUGAAUACGUUCCCAGGCCUUGUACACACCGCCCGUCACACCAUGGGAGUUGGUUUCACCCGAAGGCAGUGCGCUAACCGCAAGGAGGCAGCUGACCACGGUGGGAUCAGCGACUGGGGUGAAGUCGUAACAAGGUAGCCGUAGGGGAACCUGCGGCAGGAUCACCUCCUGAAGCUGGAUCCCGGGAAUCGAAUUCCCGCGC
rnacentral:rRNA from 1 species